CUUUGGGAAAUGUGUAAUUUGAGAAAAUGAACAUACCUUAGGCAGUGGUUUCUUCUCAGCACAGUUUAUACCUCCAACAAAGACCAUAUUGGGCAUCACUGGUCUGGGAUACUCAAACACAAAGUCAAAUCUCAUUAUUGAAAUAGAAGCAGACUUCAGGAGGUCAGUCAGGGAUACAUCUCUUUGAAGAACUUCAGAGGAAAGCUGUUUUGCAGCUCGAUAGAACCCAUUACAGUAGAAGAGCUCCAAGAAAGAAAUCAGUGUAUUUUCCACUCUCUGGAAAAAUGUCAUGUGGUCUGAAUUGAAGGAAAAUAGCCUAGGGACAUACGACAGAGGGCUUGGGCACUGUGUAGCUUCGUAGUGUAG